UGGGGAAUCUUGCACAAUGGGCGAAAGCCUGAUGCAGCAAUGCCGCGUGAGUGAUGAAGGCCUUCGGGUUGUAAAUCUCUGUCGGCUGGGAAAAACGGUUUCACAUUUAAUAAAUGUGGAAAGUGAUGGUACCAGCAAAGGAAGAGGCGGCUAACUCUGUGCCAGCAGCCGCGGUAAUACAGAGGCCUCGAGCGUUGUUCGGAAUUACUGGGCGUAAAGGGAAUGUAGGUGGUGACGUAAGUCAGAUGUGAAAGCCCUGGGCUUAACCCGGGAAGUGCAUUUGAUACUGCGUUGCUUGAGUACGAGAGAGGAAAGCGGAAUUCCAAGUGUAGGAGUGAAAUCCGUAGAUAUUUGGAGGAAUACCGAUGGCGAAGGCAGCUUUCUGGCUCGUAACUGACACUGAGAUUCGAAAGCGUGGGUAGCAAACAG
rnacentral:rRNA from 1 species